UAGCGGAGGAAAAGAAACCAACAGGGAUUGCCCUAGUAACGGCGAGUGAAGCGGCAAUAGCUCAAAUUUGAAAGCUGGCCUCUGGUCCGCAUUGUAAUUUGUAGAGGAUGCUUUUAGGCAGCCGCCGGUCUAAGUUCCUUGGAACAGGACGUCAUAGAGGGUGAGAAUCCCGUAUGUGACCGGCUCAGGCACCUUCUGUAAAGCUCCUUCGACGAGUCGAGUUGUUUGGGAAUGCAGCUCUAAAUGGGAGGUAAAUUUCUUCUAAAGCUAAAUACUGGCGAGAGACCGAUAGCGCACAAGUAGAGUGAUCGAAAGAUGAAAAGCACUUUGGAAAGAGAGUUAAAAAGCACGUGAAAUUGUUGAAAGGGAAGCGCUUGCAAUCAGACUUGGCUUAGAUUGUUCAACCGGUCUUCUGACCGGCCUAUUCAUUCUGAGCCAGGCCAGCAUCAGUUUCGGCGGCCGGAUAAAGGCCUUGGGAAUGUGGCCCUCCCUUCGGGGUGGGUGUUAUAGCCCAGGGUGUAAUACGGCCAGCCGGGACUGAGGUCCGCGAUUCGUC
rnacentral:rRNA from 1 species